ensembl:lncRNA
AUUUGAUGCACAAGUUGUAACUCUGCACAAUUAGCACCCACCUCAUGAGCCGGCGGUUCUGAUUGUACAUCCUGUGGAGAAAAAUUAGCGGAUUGUGGUCAGUAAACACCACCACAGGGACAACACUAGAUCCGACGUACACUUCGAAAAAUUGAAGGGCUAAUAACAAAGCCAAUGUCUCCUGCUCGAUGGUGGAGUACCUUGUCUGACAGUCACUGAAUUUUUUUGAAAAGAAACAAAUGGGUCUAUCGAUCCCUUCACCGUCCUCCUGUAAGAGGACGGCGCCUGCGCCCACGGCGCUAGCGUCAACCUCCAUUUUAAAAGGUUUGCCAAAAUCAGGGGCUGCAAGCACCGGGGCAGUACACAGGAGUAGCUUCGCGGAAUUGAACGAAUGCUCACAUUCCGGAGACCACUUAAACGGAACCUUGGGUGACAAAAGUGAAGACAGGGGGGCUACCACCGUCGAAAAGUUUUUGCAAAACGUACGGUAAUAACCCACCAUACCUAGGAAACGGCGAAGCUCACGGCGCGUAACAGGGGCAGGGAAACUAGCUAUGGCUUCCACCUUGCUAGCUAACAACCGAACCUGCCCAUGUCCCACCUGUUUUCCAAGGUAUGUAACUGUAGCUUUUCCGAACUCGCACUUUGCCAGGUUUAACGUCAAGGAUGCUUUUUCUAAACGUUCAAACACCAUGUCUAGCGUAGCGAUAUGGUCGGCCCAAGUUGACGAAUAUAUUACGACGUCGUCGAUAUAUGCGGUACAGUUAGGAACAUCGGCAAACACAGUAUUUACUAGGCGUUGGAACGUAGCGGGGGCAUUGCACAUGCCAAAAGGCAUUACGGUAUAUUGCACGAAAUUGUCAGGGGUCACAAACGCAGAAAUCUCCGAGGCACGAGGGGUUAGAGGCACUUGCCAAUACCCUUUCAACAGGUCUAACUUCGUGACAAACACCGCGGAGCCGAUGCUGUCGAUGCAAUCUUCUAUUCAAGGUAACGGAUAAGAGUCUGGUGCAGUAACACCAUUAACUCGCCGAUAGUCUGUGCACAACCGGGAUGUGCCGUCUGGUUUUGGGACUAGGAUACAAGGUGAACUCCAAGCACUGUUACUGGCUUUGGCCAUGUUGUUUUUUAACAAGUACUCAAUCUCACCUUUCAUCUUCUCCCUCUUAAACGCAUUUACCCGGUACGGGUGUUGACGGAUGGGGGUCGCGUUUCCUACAUCAACAUCGUGUGUCAAAACCGUGGUACAUCCAGACCGUCCUCCGGGUCAUCCUCCAGGUACGCCCCCGCCUGCAGCGCAACAGUGGCCACUGAAGAGACAGCGGGCUGGAUGGGCUUAGUGGAGAGAGUGUUAGAAGGACCUCGUGUACGCAAACAACACAAAUGGCACUCCCUCAUCCCAGUUUGGAUUAUCCAUACAGUAUUUUCGGAGCAUCGAUUUGAGGGUCUGGUGCCACCGCUCGAGUGCUCCCUGGCUUUCCGGAUGAUACGCACUCGAGACCUGGUGAGUAAUACCCAAUUCUUUUAGAGAGGUUACAAACAGUUUUGACAUAAAAUUUGAACCUUGAUCUGACUGAAGUACUUUCGGUAAGCCAAAUGUAGAGAAAAACUUGAUCAGGGCCUUAACUACAGUCUUGGCUGUGAUGGUACGGAGGGGAAUAGCCUCCGGAUACCGAGUAGCACUACACAUCACUGUUAAAAGGUAUUGGUUACCACUCCGCGUUCUUGGUAAAGGACCCACACAAUCCACGAUUACCCGUUCGAACGGUUCUCCCAGCACAGGAAUCGGGUGCAGAGGCGCCCGAGGGAUGACCUGGUUCGCUUUUCCUGUUAGUUGGCAUUCAUGACAGGUAUUACAAAAUUCCACAACAUCUGACUUUAGACCUGGCCAGAAAAAGUGGCGAAGGACUCUGUCAUAAGUCUUUGUUAUUCCUAGGUGCCCAGCCCAAGCAGGGUCAUGUGCUAGGGAUAACACUUGCUGUCUGAAUGGUUUAGGGACGACCACCUGCUUGACAACCCCUAAACCCCGAACGUUACCCUGCGCUGCCCACCUGCGCAUAAGAACGCCAGCCUCCAUGAAUUUUCAUUGAAGUGGAAAUACUGGACUGGGCUGGCUCCACGUUCACACGCUCAAGAAUCGAGUCUGACAGGUCCACCUCGUCUCCCAACCUACGGGACUGGGCCCGUGUAAGCACACAAGCUGGGAACACAUGAGGAGAGAGAGACGCCACAACCUCC